UGGCACACUUGUAAGUGUGUGCACCGUGGGAUUGGGCAGUAGAAUGCAAAGAAGAGAGAAGCCUCACGGUUUUGUGAGAGAAAGAAAGGAAAGGGUCUCCAAUAGUGUGCACAACAAAUUCAUGGUGUUUUAUGAGAGUUAUUUGUGUGAGAAAGAGAGAAAGGUUCACCACUAUGAGAAACUAGCGAAAGAGUGGAGCUGCUGCAUGUAUUAUUGAGUCGUGUGUUUGUUUGUGAGUUGUGCAUCACCAUGAGAGAAAGAGAGAAAAUGGGUUGUACUUUGUGAGUUGUAUCUUGUGUAAGUUUGAGAGUUUAAAGUGUUGUUUGUGUAUUUGUGUAUGUUCUAGAAAGUAAUCCAAAAAAAAUACAAAGAGUAUAUUUCUCGGAUAUUAUACUACGAGUUGAUACCAUGAGAACAUAUAUUUAUUGUUCAAAAAUUUCUACAGAGUGUAUGUUUUCUUUUGGCAAGUGAAGAGUUUCAAUGCAUGUGAGGCCACGAUAAGAUGAAGAGAAAUAUUAUAUUUUCUUCCUAUAUAGUGUAAACAUUUAGAAUCCACAGAGCGAGAAGGGGUUCUUAAUAUUAGCAUUUAAUGGUUUUCGUGGUACCUACCUUGGGAGGGAAAUCAUAAUAUGGUUAAUACCAAGUGCAUGAAAUUGUUGUUGUGCAUGUGCUACUACGUCCCUUGUUGAUAGGUAAAGUACGCAAAUGAUAUUCCAGGGUUGCAUUGGUGGAUUAUAAGAAUGGUGAACAGUUACAGGCUAAGGUUUUCGUUGUGCAGCUUUUAAAUUUUGGGUCUAUAAAAUAGGUCUAGGGAAGCUAAAGGAGUUUUCUUUAAAGAUAUAAAGAUUGAUGAGAGAGGUGCAGAGGUGAUCUAGUUUUAUGGGUUUCAAAAAUUAUAUCAUUUUUGAGUUAUUAUUGAGUGGAAUAGUAUAUAGGGUGAUAUAGUGUGAAAUCUGGAGGUGGGUGUAUAAAAUUGGUGCAUUGUUAGGUGAUAUAGGUAGGGUGGAAUAAUAUAUAGGGUGAUAAAGCUAUUUACGUUUCUCUCUCUGCAUUUAAUUCUUCAAACAUUCAUUUAUGUUUUUGUCUCUGCAUUUAAUUCUUUUACACACAACUCACUCAGGUUUGGCCACAUGACAUUUGCACCGUUAUGUUUUUAACGGUGUGAGCAAAAAGGACCGGAUUGAACAUUUUUUUAAUGAAAUAUGAAGCCU
rnacentral:lncRNA from 1 species